AUUGGAUCCAGUUUGGAGGACUUAACGGAGUUGGGAAUUAGCCGCAAACGCCACAAUGCCGUCCAAGCCUGCCCCCAUCAAGAAGGCGGCGAAGCCAGCCAAGAAGGAGGAGGCGGCGGAGCCCGCUGCCGCCGAGGCCGCCCCGGCAGAAGCAGCACCAGCCGAAGCCGCCCCGGCCCCCGCUGAGGGUGAGGCUGCACCUGCUGAGGCCGCCGCUGAGGAGCCCAAACCCCCCACCCCUCCACCGGCAGAAGCUGAAGCUGCUGAAGCGCCUGCAGAAGAGGUUAGACCCGAAACACCUCCCCCUCCUCCAGAGCCCACAAGCAUCCCUCUGGAUCUGUUUAUUGAGGACAAGAAUGACACUACAGUCACUAUCAUGUGGAGCCAGCCCGAGGUGAUCGGAAACUCUGGCCUGGACGGAUACACCAUUGAAGUCUGCAAGGACGGAACUGAGGACUGGAAAGCUGUCAAUGAGGAUCUGCAGAAGUCCUGCCGCUACAUUAUCAAGAACCAGACCACCGGGGACCGUCUGAAGAUCCGUGUGGUGGCCCUGAACGCCGGCGGCCGCAGCCCCUCCCUCUCCCUCCCAGAGGCCGUGCUGGUGAAGGAGGUCGCUGAUCGUCCCAAGGUCCGCCUGCCGCGCUACCUCAGGCAGAGAUACGUCGCUCAAGUUGGAGAGAAGAUCAACCUGACCAUCCCCUUCUCGGGCAAACCCAAACCCGUGGUCUCCUGGACGAAGGACGGGCUGCCCCUGGACACCAAGAGGGUGAUGAUCCGCAGCACGGAGAGGGACAGCAUCCUGUUCAUCCGCGUGUCCGAGAGGGACGACUCCGGUGUGUACGAGAUUUGUGUGAAGGUGGACGACUUCGAGGACAAGGCUCAGCUCAUCCUGCAGAUUGUUGAGCUGCCAGGUCCCCCCGCCAGUGUGAAGGUUGCAGAUACCUGGGGCUUCAAUGUUGCUCUGGAAUGGACCGCACCCACAGACAAAGGAAACACAGACAUCACAGGCUACACCGUCCAGAAGUCUGACAAAAAGACCGGAGACUGGUUCACUGUCGUGGAUCAUUACCAUAGACUGAAUGCCACCAUCUCUGACCUCAUCAUGGGCAACACCUACAAGUUCAGAGUGUAUUCUGAAAACAAGUGUGGAAUUAGCGAGGAGGCUACAGUUGCGAAGGAGGAAUCCUCAAUCGUGAAGAUUGGUAUUGACUACAAACCUCCAGAGUACAAGGAGCGCGACUUCACCGAGCCGCCCAAGUUCACCACGGCUCUGAACGACAGAGCCACCACCGUCGGCUACAGCACCAAGCUGCUGUGCUCCGUCAGGGGGGUGCCAAGGCCCAAGGUUAUUUGGAUGAAGAACCAGAUGAUUAUUGGAGAAGACCCCAAGUAUAGGCAGAUCUGCGUCCAGGGUAUCUGUUCUCUGGAGAUCCGUAAGCCUGGUAACUAUGACGGUGGCGUGUACACCUGCAAAGCCAAGAACACUCACGGAGAGGCCAUUGUCAGCUGCAAGCUGGAGGUCAAACAGAUCCCGGUUCCAGAUGCAGAGAAGCAAUAAGUAAACAUUCACAUUCUCACAGGAGCAGAAGGAAUGAGGCCUUUGCAGCAUAAGGAAGGGGCUGGAUUCCUGGAAGAACAUGUAUAUAUGGCCGGUGACCACACUAUUGAAGGGUUGUUGCCUGUGACCUCUUGCCGAGUGUUACCCUGUGUUAUGAUGAACAAUUGUGUCACUUUAUGCCUUCAUCGUUCUCUACAUUAUUAAGUCCACAUCCAUGUCCACAGUCUGCUUUCCCCCCAACGAUACUGUCUACGGUAACUACUGUAAAUGAUCUUCUUGUCAGUCUAACUAGGUGUACAACAACUACAUUUAACAUCUACGUGUUUAUAUCAAUAAAUAAUUUUAUUUCUGGUUUU